GUGCCAGCAGCCGCGGUAAGACGAACCGUCCUAACGUUGUUCGGAAUCACUGGGCUUAAAGGGCGCGUAGGCGGGCUCUCAAGUCCGGGGUGAAAUCUUUCGGCUCAACCGGAAAAUAGCCUUGGAUACUGGGAGUCUCGAGGGAGGUAGGGGCGGGUGGAACUUCCGGUGGAGCGGUGAAAUGCGUUGAUAUCGGAAGGAACGCCGGUGGCGAAAGCGACCCGCUGGACCUCUUCUGACGCUGAGGCGCGAAAGCCAGGGGAGCAAACGGGAUUAGAUACCCCUGUAGUCC
rnacentral:rRNA from 1 species